rnacentral:tRNA from 1 species
GGAUAUAGCUCAGUGGCAUAAGCACCUGCCUGGCAAGCACAAGGUCCUGAGUUCGAGUCCCAGUACCA